rnacentral:tRNA from 1 species
GCCUUCGUGGUAUAGUGGUCAGCACGCUCGACGCGUAACCGAGAGGUCCGUGGUUCGAUUCCCGGCGAAAGCG